rnacentral:rRNA from 1 species
AGAGUUUGAUCCUGGCUCAGAACGAACGCUGGCGGCGUGUCUUAAGCAUGCAAGUCGAGCGGCAAGGCGGGGCAACCCGCCCUAGAGCGGCGGACUGGUGAGUAACGCGUGGAUGAUCUACCUUUGGGAUGGGGAUAGCCAUUAGAAAUAGUGGGUAAUACCGAAUACGCUGACGUGCUUACGAGUACGUUAGGAAAGGCGCUACGGCGCCACCCAUAGAUGAGUCCGCGUCCCAUUAGCUAGUUGGUGAGGUAAAGGCUCACCAAGGCGAUGAUGGGUAGCCGGCCUGAGAGGGUGUACGGCCACAUUGGGACUGAGAUACGGCCCAAACUCCUACGGGAGGCAGCAGCUAAGAAUAUUCCGCAAUGGGCGCAAGCCUGAUCCAGCAAUGCCGCGUGUGUGAAGAAGGCCUUCGGGUUGUAAAGCACUUUAAGCUGGGAAGAAAAAAUCGGAACUAACAUUUCCGGUCUUGACGGUACCAGAAGAAUAAGCACCGGCUAACUCUGUGCCAGCAGCCGCGGUAAUACAGAGGGUGCAAGCGUUAAUCGGAUUUACUGGGCGUAAAGGGUGUGUAGGUGGUUUGGCAAGUCGGUUGUGAAAUCCCCGGGCUCAACCUGGGAAUUGCUUCCGAGACUGCUUGACUAGAGUACGGUAGAGGGCGGUGGAAUUUCCGGUGUAGCGGUGAAAUGCGUAGAUAUCGGAAGGAACACCAAUGGCGAAGGCAGCCGCCUGGGCCUGUACUGACACUGAGACACGAAAGCGUGGGGAUCAAACAGGAUUAGAUACCCUGGUAGUCC